AUUGAACGCUGGCGGCAUGCCUUACACAUGCAAGUCGAACGGCAGCACGGGAGCAAUCCUGGUGGCGAGUGGCGAACGGGUGAGUAAUGUAUCGGAACGUGCCCAGUCGUGGGGGAUAACGUAGCGAAAGCUACGCUAAUACCGCAUACGAUCUAUGGAUGAAAGCGGGGGAUCGCAAGACCUCGCGCGAUUGGACCGGCCGAUAUCAGAUUAGGUAGUUGGUGGGGUAAAGGCUCACCAAGCCGACGAUCUGUAGCUGGUCUGGGAGGACGACCAGCCACACUGGGACUGAGACACGGCCCAGACUCCUACGGGAGGCAGCAGUGGGGAAUUUUGGACAAUGGGCGCAAGCCUGAUCCAGCAAUGCCGCGUGCAGGAUGAAGGCCUUCGGGUUGUAAACUGCUUUUGUACGGAACGAAACGGCGAGCUCUAAUACAGUUUGCUAAUGACGGUACCGUAAGAAUAAGCACCGGCUAACUACGUGCCAGCAGCCGCCGUAA
rnacentral:rRNA from 1 species